rnacentral:rRNA from 1 species
UGCAGUCGAGCGGACUGAUGGGAGCUUGCUCCCAUCAGUCAGCGGCGGACGGGUGAGUAACACGUGGGUAACCUGCCUGUAAGACUGGGAUAACUCCGGGAAACCGGGGCUAAUACCGGAUAACUCAUUUCCUCGCAUGAGGAAAUGUUGAAAGAUGGCUUCUUGCA